GCCUUGUCUACUUAUUGCAUUAAAACAACAUUAGGUGUUACCAACUCAAUUUCAAUUGGCCCAAGAGCCCAAGCCAUGUGGUAUGCCGCACCUAAACCCAUCAGACCUCAAGUAGAAGGUCCUAGGGUCGAUUCCCUGGGUUGAGUGUACCAAGGCCCUUUUAAUUUUACCUUAUUCGAGAUCGCUGAACACUACUCCAUGAUUAACAACUAUCAUCUUUAACAAUUAACUAAUUGGAAACAUUUACAGUACGCUUUCAAACUCACACAAAUUCAUGCUAUGACUAUACGAAAUCAGUAAUCCAUCGCGAAUCAAAAAUCAGCUUGAUUUUCCAUUUCAAAACUAUAUGAAAGAACAACUAAUGAGAAAUUAUGCUAAGCUACCAUUAACAAACAACAUAUUGACAGAAUAGAAUAGUCUCAAUUAACACAACGAGAGAUUAAUGUUUCAGUCGUGCUUGUUAACCAAAUAACUACUACAAACUAUCUACAAAUUAGCAAUCAACAGAGGCAAGCUUCAAUGCAUAAAUUUGAUGGAAUCUCUUCAUUUUUACUUCCAAUUCAACGGUUACAUCAAACCAAUUUUAUAUGUGUACCUGGAAUUUGCAAAAAAAACAGGAAGGGAAGAGUCAGCAGUAGCACAACAAGGCAGCAGCAAUGGAGUUAGCCCAGGAAUAACCAAAAUAACUAGCUGGAUAUAGAUUUGGACAACAGAACUAUCAAACGGCCCUCAGCCGUCAAUCAGGCAACCAAUGCAGGGGUAGAUUGAACUCAAAAAUACCAGAGAUCUCAACAAACACCAACAACAAUAACAAAUAACCCACAACAGCCACUUAGACCUCAAAUACUACUCGAAAUGCAAACAAACAACCUUGAAAUCAAACUUAAUUUCUCCUCGAGCUUUAAUGAAACAGAAAUCAACCAAAAGCUAACUCCAAGCAGACCCAAAUGCACUUAAAUCAAGCACCAAACGUCUAGGUCUUCUCAACAGGAAUUGAAACCAACUUCAAAGGAAAUGAAACAGUAAAUAACUUCUUCUUCUUUUUUUAAUUUUCUGAAGAGCUUUUGUUGAUUUUUUUUUUUUUUGUUUUCUUCUAAAGAACUAAAAUCUAGACAGAAUUUAACUUGAAAUUUGAAAGCUGAAUCAGAUCAUAAAAAUUCAGAAUGGAAAGAAUUUGGGAGCUAAUAAUGGCCAAAAGAAGAGCCCCCAGCAAGGCAAAGCAAGUUUUUAUUUCCUUUUAGCCCCUCCCUCUUUUAAAUUUUACCCAUUUUAUUUCUAACUUGCCACACAAGUAAGUACAACUACUUUUCGAAAAACUACCUAGAAGCCUCUAUCUAGAAGCUUCUAGGGAAUUCUUAUCUAGAUACAUCCCUGAAUUUCCUAAUCUACCCUUACCCCUUCGCUGAACUACCCCCUUGUUCAACUAAAAUCAAAACUACUAUUAGCCUAAAUUAACAUGAAGUCUAUGGCUUAGUUCUUAAUAACACAUGAAGAGAAAAUCAUAAAAAUGUCAACCCAUUAAUGUCAUCAGAUAAUACCCAAACAUAAUUACUAAUUAAAUCAAGUAGAACCAACUCACAUUAACACCCAAAAGCACUUGCUUAACAAAUUCAAACAAUAAGUUAAACCUAUGAAUGGAGUAACACAAAAUCAAAACUGGAGAAACUUAUUAUUAAUUUAACUUCAGAUUAAUGGUUAACAACCACUAAAAGAUAUAUCAAAAAGAAAGACAAAUAAAACUAAACAGAAGAACUCACUGGGCAGGAUUCCGACCAUUUAACAGUGUUCCCAUUUUAGCACUUUUCCCAUGAUAUUCGACUGCUCUGAAUGACCAAAUCCCCAUGAGGAUAAUGAGAGGAUUGCAUGAUGCCAAUUUGGUACGAUGUGGGCCAUUUAGGGUUUUGGCCGGGAAAUAUUUUUUCAAUAUUUGAGAAAUUCCGGCCACAUUCGAGGCAAACGGUUAUGGGGGUCGGGUAGAGGAGGUUCCGGCGGUAAUACAGUGUAAAUUUGGGAUCGUUUGGCACGACUUGCAUCAUGGCUGGAAAAUCUCCGACGGAAUAAGGCAAGAUUUGAAGGACACUGGAAAUGGAUUCAUGAUGAGGGUGAAGAGGAGAUUUCAUGGUGUUUUUCUGGAGUGGAUUAGGAUGAACGGCGUUCGCCGGCAGUGGGGCUCCGACGAGGUUAGAGAUAGUACGAGGAAGAAAGGACACGGUCUUUAAGGUUACUAAAGGAAUUCAGACAAUAUGUGAUUGUCACGAUUAACAUAGGCUGUUGGAUUGAGG
rnacentral:lncRNA from 1 species